rnacentral:rRNA from 1 species
GAUGAACGCUGGCGGCGUGCCUAAUACAUGCAAGUCGAGCGAACAGACGAGGAGCUUGCUCCUUUGACGUUAGCGGCGGACGGGUGAGUAACACGUGGAUAACCUACCUAUAAGACUGGGAUAACUUCGGGAAACCGGAGCUAAUACCGGAUAACAUGUUGAACCGCAUGGUUCAACAGUGAAAGACGGUCUUGCUGUCACUUAUAGAUGGAUCCGCGCCGCAUUAGCUAGUUGGUAAGGUAACGGCUUACCAAGGCAACGAUGCGUAGCCGACCUGAGAGGGUGAUCGGCCACACUGGAACUGAGACACGGUCCAGACUCCUACGGGAGGCAGCAGUAGGGAAUCUUCCGCAAUGGGCGAAAGCCUGACGGAGCAACGCCGCGUGAGUGAAGAAGGUCUUCGGAUCGUAAAACUCUGUUAUUAGGGAAGAACAAAUGUGUAAGUAACUGUGCACGUCUUGACGGUACCUAAUCAGAAAGCCACGGCUAACUACGUG